rnacentral:rRNA from 1 species
AUUGAACGCUGGCGGCAGGCUUAACACAUGCAAGUCGAACGAGUGGCGGACGGGUGAGUAAUGUAUGGGAAUCUGCCUUAUGGAGGGGGAUAACUACGGGAAACUGUAGCUAAUACCGCGUACCAUCGGAUCAGCCCAAAUGGGAUUAGCUAGUCGGUGAGGUAAAGGCUAACCAAGCCGACGAUGCCUAGCUGGUCUGAGAGGAUGACCAGACACACUGGGACUGAGACACGGCCCAGACUCCUACGGGAGGCAGCAGUGGGGAAUAUUGCGCAAUGGGGGCAACCUGACGCAGCCAUGCCGCGUGAGUGAAGAAGGCCUUCGGGUGGUAAAGUUCUUUCGGUAGCGAGGCGUUACCUACAGAGGAAGCACCGGCUAACUCCGUGCCAGCCGCCGCGGUAAUGG